GAAUUAGCUAGCUGGGAUUUCUUUAUGUUCCAAACAGAUUGGCACAUGGAGCAAAUUAUCUUCUGUGCAGAAAAGUGGCAUUUCAGCCAAGCCAACUUUUCUGCAAUAAGGACAAGUGUAUACUCUGGCGAAGACUGAUGAUAGAAAACAAAGAGAAGCUCUAUGAUUCCAUGUACAGUGGAUCUACCUUUCACAACAGCAUCAAACAAGAAGUUAGGGGAGAGACCAACAGGUCAGCCUGACCUCCUCCCCAUCACAAGUCAGAUCUCAGGAGAUAAGCGUAAGUAAAAGAAGAAGAGAAACUAUUUCUAUGCCCUGUUCUGACUGACCUCUUCCUUUGUCUUUCAGAAAGGGAGCAUCAGGAUCCUUAAGACCCUCCUGGGGCUUCUCCUCUCUGCAUCUGACCCUUGGAAGGGAUCAAGAAGUCUACAGAUUCUCCUUCUGCUUAAAACCAAGAAUGGCAUGUUCUGCAAAGGCAAAUGUAUUAUCAAUUAUAUAUGUGAAGUCACUUCCCACAACCAAAACAAGGCAACAGCACAGAUCCCCUUUUGAAAGGCAUUGAGUCCAAGAUCUGAGGCCUGGUACAAGGAUUUGGGGAUUUUUAGCCUGAACUAAGAAGAUCCAGGGGAAAGCAACAGCUAUCAUCAAAGACUUGAAGGAAAUUAACAGGGAAUAAGGAUUCGAUUUCCCUGUUUAAUCCCAAAGGACAGAACCAUAACUGAUGUGUGGAAGUUGCUUUGUAAAAAUCAAAGCAACCUUGUCAGAAAGGAAAUAAAGUUUGUCUA